UUUGUCCAAUGAAAAAAAAAGUUUACCUGAAGAGAAGGAGAAAAAAGAAAAGAAAACAACCCAAGGAAACACACAUAUCUGAUUUCUCCAGCAAUGUCAAGAAAGAUAAAGAAGUAAAAGCACAAUGCUAAAGACAUUAUGAUCUGUGUGAGACACAGGCUACCCUGAAUUCACAUGUUCAGAACUCAGUGAGUAUGAUGAGAUGUCUGCCAUGGAUCAGGAAUAGUCAUAACCCUGUGUGUGAUGAUGGGCGGAAACAUAUAUUUAUCUAAAUAAAUUUAGAGCUCUUUCCCUAUGGACA
rnacentral:lncRNA from 1 species